GUGGGUAGGGCAGCACUCACUGCCUGUGAUCAUCAGUGUCCUUGUUCUGCUCCCUCCUCUCACCCACCCCACCCCUGCCAAGGCCUCCCUAGCCCUUCAACUGUGAGGCUUUGGGAGGUCUCAGGCUCAGCAUAUCUCUUUCAAAGAAGACUUCCUGACAGAAGAAAACGGGAAUUUCCCUGCACAAGCUCAGUCUUCUCUUGUCUGCUGCCAUGUGAGAUGUGACUUUCAUUUUCUGCCAUGACUGUGAGGCCUCCCCAGCCACGUGGAAGUCGUUGCGUCCAUGUAGACCUGAGACCCCCUGGCUAUGUGUCUCAGGAUGUGUCCUUCAGUUCUGCCUCCUGAGCCUCAAGACAGUCUCACUCUGUUGCCCAGGCUGGAGUGCAGUGGCG
rnacentral:lncRNA from 1 species